rnacentral:tRNA from 1 species
GCAGAUGCAGAAGCGGCCCAAAACAACUGGAUGCUUCCAACAUCCAGUAUGUGCAGAAUGCGUACCAUAGGUUCGAAUCCUGUUCUCUCCGCC